CUGACAUGUGUGCAAGUCAACGGGCGAGUAAACCCGUAAGGCAUAAGGAAGCUGAUUGGUGGGAUCCCCCUGAGGGGUGCACCUCCGACCGACCUUGAUCUUCUGUGAAGGGUUCGAGUGUGAGCAUACCUGUCGGGACCCGAAAGAUGGUGAACUAUGCCUGAGCGGGGCGAAGCCAGAGGAAAUUCUUGUGGAGGCCCGCAGCGAUACUGACGUGCAAAUCGUUCAUCUGACUUGGGUAUAGGGGCGAAAGACUAAUCGAACCGUCUAGUAGCUGGUUCCCUUCGAAGUUUCCCUCAGGAUAGCUGGAGCUCGCGUGCGAGUUUUAUCGGGUAAAGCCAAUUAUUAGAGGCAUCGGGGGCGCAACGACCUCGACCUAUUCUCAAACAUUAAAUAGGUAGGACGUCGCGGAUGCUUUGUUGAGCCGCGCCACGGAAUCAAAAGNGUCUCGUUGCUGAGAAUUUACUUAGGCAGGCUAAGGUAUGAUACAUGAGCGCUGAGAACCAUGAAGCGAGUGGCACCUCGUGGAUUGGGCCUAUUCGAUCAGGUUGGGAUCGAGCCGUGCCGAUCACAUAGUGACUAAGAUAGAAAUAAGUCAGGA
rnacentral:rRNA from 1 species